AGAGUAUGAUCCUGGCUCAGAACGUACGCUGGCGGCACGCCUAACACAUGCAAGUCGAACGCAGUAGCAAUACUGAGUGGCAAACGGGUGAGUAUAAUGUGGGAAUCUGCCUUUUGGUUUGGAAUAACACGGGGAAACUUGUGCUAAUACCGAAUAAGCCCUUACGGGGAAAGUUUUAAUGCCGAAAGAUGAGCCCGCACUUGAUUAGCUAGUUGGUAAGGUAAAAGCUUACCAAGGCAAUGAUCAAUAGCUGUUCUUAGAGGAAGACCAGCCACAUUGGGACUGAGACACGGCCCAGACUCCUACGGGAGGCAGCAGUGGGGAAUCUUGCACAAUGGGGGAAACCCUGAUGCAGCGAUGCCGCGUGAGUGAAGAAGGCCUUUGGGUUGUAAAACUCUUUCGUCGGGGAAGAAAAUGACUGUACCCGAAUAAGAAGGUCCGGCUAACUUCGUGCCAGCAGCCGCGGUAAUACGAAGGGACCUAGCGUAGUUCGGAAUUACUGGGCUUAAAGAGCUCGUAGGUGGUUAAAAAAGUUGAUGGUGAAAUCCCAAGGCUUAACCUUGGAACUGCCAUCAAAACUUUUUGGCUAGAGUGUGAUAG
rnacentral:rRNA from 1 species